rnacentral:rRNA from 1 species
GUCUUUUUGAUUAAUAAUUUAAAGUCUAAUCUGCCCACUGAUGGAAUAUUAAAGGGCUGCAGUAUAUUGACUGUACAAAGGUAGCAUAAUCAUUAGUCUUUUAAUUGAAGACUUGUAUGAAAGAUUUAAUGAAAUAUAAACUGUCUCUAAUUUAUUUUUAAAAUUUAAUUUUUUAGUUAAAAAGCUAAAAUAUUUAUAAAAGACGAGAAGACCCUAUAGAGUUUUAUAAAUAAUAAUAAUUAUAAUUAAAUAUAUAAAUAAUAAAUUUAUAAUUAUUUUAUUAUUAUAUUGGGGUGAUAGAAAAAUUAAAUUAACUUUUUUUUAAAUUAGACCAUAAAUAAGUGAUUAUAGGAUCCAAUAAUAUUGAUUAAAAGAAAAAAUUACCUUAGGGAUAACAGCGUAAUUUUUUCUUUUAGUACAAAUAAGAGAAAAAGUUUGCGACCUCGAUGUUGGAUUAAGAUAAAAUUUAAAUGUAAAAGUUUAAAAUUUUGAUCUGUUCGAUCAUUAAAAUCUUACAU